rnacentral:rRNA from 1 species
GGACCCGCACAAGCGGUGGAGUAUGUGGUUUAAUUCGAUGCAACGCGAAGAACCUUACCAGGGUUUGACAUCCUGCGAAUCUCUUGGAAACAGGAGAGUGCCUUCGGGAACGCAGUGACAGGUGGUGCAUGGCUGUCGUCAGCUCGUGUCGUGAGAUGUUGGUUAAGUCCCGCAACGAGCGCAACCCACGUCUUUAGUUGCCAGCAUUUAGUUGGGCACUCUAGAGAGACUGCCGGUGAUAAACCGGAGGAAGGUGUGGAUGACGUCAAGUCAUCAUGCCCCUUACAUCCUGGGCUACACACGUACUACAAUGCUACGGACAAAGGGCAGCAAGUUCGCGAGGACAAGCA